UGGGGAAUUUUCCGCAAUGGACGAAAGUCUGACGGAGCAACGCCGCGUGAGUGAAGAAGGUCUUCGGAUUGUAAAGCUCUUUUGUUAGGGAAGAACGUGUAGACUGUAAAUAAUGGUUUACAAUGACGGUACCUAAAGAAAAAGCCACGGCUAACUACGUGCCAGCAGCCGCGGUAAUACGUAGGUGGCAAGCGUUGUCCGGAAUUAUUGGGCGUAAAGCGCGCGCAGGCGGGAGAAUAAGUCUGUUGUUUAAAUUCGGGGCUCAACCCCGUCAAGCGACGGAAACUAUUUUUCUUGAGUGCAGGAGAGGAAAGGGGAAUUCCCAGUGUAGCGGUGAAAUGCGUAGAUAUUGGGAGGAACACCAGUGGCGAAGGCGCCUUUCUGGACUGCAACUGACGCUCAGGCGCGAAAGCUAGGGUAGCGAACG
rnacentral:rRNA from 1 species